CCUACGGGAGGCAGCAGUGGGGAAUUUUGGACAAUGGGCGCAAGCCUGAUCCAGCCAUGCCGCGUGAGUGAAGAAGGCCUUCGGGUUGUAAAGCUCUUUCGGUGGGGAAGAAAUUGCACGGGAUAAUACCCUGUGUAGAUGACGGUACCUGGAGAAGAAGCACCGGCUAACUACGUGCCAGCAGCCGCGGUAAUACGUAGGGUGCGAGCGUUAAUCGGAAUUACUGGGCGUAAAGCGUGCGCAGGCGGUUGGAUAAGUCAGAUGUGAAAUCCCCGGGCUCAACCUGGGAACUGCAUUUGAGACUGCCCAGCUGGAGUUUGGCAGAGGGGGGUGGAAUUCCACGUGUAGCAGUGAAAUGCGUAGAGAUGUGGAGGAACACCGAUGGCGAAGGCAGCCCCCUGGGCCAAUACUGACGCUCAUGCACGAAAGCGUGGGGAGCAAACAGGAUUAGAUACCCUGGUAGUCCACGCCCUAAACGAUGUCAACUAGGUGUUGGGAGGGUUAAACCUUUUAGUGCCGUAGCUAACGCGUGAAGUGACCGCCUGG
rnacentral:rRNA from 1 species